rnacentral:rRNA from 1 species
UACGGAGGGUGCAAGCGUUAUCCGGAUUCACUGGGUUUAAAGGGUGCGUAGGAGGGCAGGUAAGUCAGUGGUGAAAUCUCCAAGCUUAACUUGGAACUGCCGUUGAUACUAUCUGUCUUGAAUAUUGUGGAGGUGAGCGGAAUAUGUCAUGUAGCGGUGAAAUGCUUAGAUAUGACAUAGAACACCAAUUGCGAAAGGCAGCUCGCUACACAUAUAUUGACUCUGAGGCACGAAAGCGUGGGGAUCAAACAGG